rnacentral:lncRNA from 1 species
UGGUCAUAACCUUAUGGUACCUUGAAACAAUGAUCUAUCAAUAAGAGAUAUGUAAAUAGGCAAUCAAUGAAAUAACAAUGAAGUAAGGAGUUUUUGGCACACUAAUGAAGUGUUUAGGAGCUAAAAAUAACACAUGGGUCUUAUUUGAGUAACCGGAGAAAUUCUGAAAUUUACUAGCGAAAAUAGGCAUGUAGGAUAGGUAGCAAGCAUGUAUCGAGGUGGUUUAACACAUUAGAGAGUGGGAAUAAUUUC